rnacentral:lncRNA from 1 species
GCUGGAGUUGACUGAGUAGAAGAGUCACAUGAUCACAUCCGCACUUAAGAAAAAUUACUUUGGCCGCAGCGCGUAGGAGGGACAGGAGUGGUUAGAGACUUGAGCCAGCAAGACCAAUGAGGAGGCCGUUUCAGUUAUCCAGGCAGAGGCGAUGGAAGCUGGACAGCAAAGGUUUGCGAAGGUAGAAAGAGCGAGAUUCGAUGACUGAUGAGAUGUGUGGGGCGAAGGAGAAUGCGAAGUCCAGGCUAAAACUGAGGUUGCAAACCUGGGAAACCAAAAGAGUGGUGGUUCCACUGACAGAACUGGGGAAGCUGGGAGAACAGGAGCAUUUGAGGCGGGGAAAUGAGGUCAGUUUUGGACGCACUGAGUUUGAGAUGUCUCCAGAACAUCUGGACAUGUACACUAGGCAAUCGGUGACAUGGUACUGAAGCUCAGGGGAAGGAGACAGGCAGGUAGACAGAUGCAUACAUGUGUACAUGCAUUCAUAAGAGAGACAGAGAAUUAUAAUGUCUGAUCUUGACCCCCGGAACAGAGAUGAGAAAAUGCUCCUCUGUUCCUUCAUUGGGUAGAGAUGGGCACUAUGUAAGUGGAACAGACUACCAGGUUCUACUGAAGUAUUGACUGUUUUUGUCGGACUACCUUUUUUUCCUCCUUUUUUCAUUGUCAGGUGGGAUAGUUCACUGGGUAGAGGUAGAAACAGAGAUAUAUUCAUAAAUGAACAAAAUAUAUGAAUACAUGUCAAAGAUAAAAUGAGAUAUUAGUACAAUGCUUUGCAAACCUCAGUGUUAUAUAAAUGUUAGUUAUCAUUGUCAUCAACAUCAUUACUUUAAAAAAAGGGAACUAAAAAAAUUGUCUUUCUUCCUUCUGUCCCUGAUAUCCUUAAUCUCUGCUCUGAGUGACAGUAUCACCUUCCCCUUUUCUUCUAAUGCUGUUGGAACUUCUCAGUCUGAGUUAGCAUCAAUUACCCAGCCCACCUGGAGACAGCACUUCUCAUCGUUCCUCUGCCUUGAGGUUGUUCAAAGGCUCCAAGAGAAAAUCCAGCAGGGAGAGAAGGACGUUUUCAUCCUGAGAUGGCUCCGUUUGGAAGCCCCAGACAGCAGCAGGAUUUCCAGGAGGCAGGUGGCCACCUUCUUUUGAGCUGCAUUGCUUGAUUUCAACUUUACCAUCAUCACCACCACCACCAUCACCACCACUACCACCACCACCAAGUCCAUCCAACCAGAAAGUUGUCAUCAUACAGAUUGCUUCAUCUUUGGUACUCACAACACAUCAGUACCUUGCCUUUGCAGAGCAAAAAACUCCUCCCCAAGCCUCCCUUUAAAGAGGGCUCAGGAAACAAAUCAUCUUUUCAUUUCCAUCCCAAUACACUGCUUGGUUUUUGACCCUACCAUCAUCAUAGCACAACCAGAAACCCUAUAUACCACCACUCCUUUAGUUUCCUUUUGUGUGUUAUCUUACUCCAUAAGUUCCUUGAAGGCAGGGACUGACUUGGUUUUUCUUACUUGUAUCACCAGUGCUUAGCACAGUGCUGGGCACAUAGUAGUCACUUAAUAAAUGUUUAUUGUAUUGUAUUGUAUCUUAUUGU